UUGUCGCAACGGCACUUGGCAUUGUGGUGAGGUAGCGGCCCCGAGUAGCCGCUGAGUGAGUUCGGCGCUGGCGAGAGCGGCCAUUCUGGGUCGAGGAGUAGUAUGCGUCCACCGUCGCGGGCAGGUGUGGGCGCCUCCCCUGAAGACCUGAGCACGGCGGAGGGACCGGGGGCUGGGCGGCCGGGACGGGCCCUACGCCAGUACCCCAGACGUGCGGAAUUAUAAACUGGUCUCGAAGCAGGAGAAACUGAAGGGUUUGCAAAGGAGGUGGGAAGGGCCAGGCGCCAGCAGUCCUGUUGCUGUGCCCAGUGUGCUGCUACCUGCCCAGGGGAUUGUUAAGUUGUGGUCCGACUUUGGACCUGAAGAAUGUGGAAGCUGUGAAGUCCUCUUAGUGGGCAGAAUGUCCAGCAGUAUGUUUUGAAGUGCACUUCACCUGAAAGGAGAGAUGGCCUUGGGUAUAAUUCAUGGUCUGAAGCUAACUGACCAGUUGGUCAAGGACGUAGAUAGAGCAAGACUGGAGAACUGGUGGCAAGAAAGAUUUGGGAAGGACUAUGGUGAUUAACUUGCAGAGUGGAUUUGGGAAGGACUAUGGUGAUUAACUUGCAGAAUGGAUGAAACGAACUGUUCUGUCGUGGAAACUCAGCCUCCUUUUCCAGGCCCAAUGCUUGCUCAGUGGAAUCAUGGAUGCAACGGCAGUACCAGGAUUGGAGAUGUGCAUGGGAUCAUCCAACCACUGCUGAGGGUCCAGGUCACCAGUAGCAGGACCAAUCCUGAGCUGGUGAUUCACUCCAUGCUCCCAAGAGGAUCAGCCAACCACUUGGAGGAAAAAAGAUUACAUUGGCCCUCCCUGGUCACUGAGGGAGUAGUUACUUGACCUUUCUGAUAAACAUUAUUCUAGAUUUAGAUCUGUCUUUCCUGCUUGCCUGUUUUCUGUCAGUGCCACCAUUUGGGAACUUAGUAAAUGCUUUAUAGACGAUUGUUGUAUCUGACACCAUAUUGCUUCUGACCAAGAAAUUCAGGCUGUAAUGAAAGAAGGCAGGGGUCUGCUGCCCAUAGAAUUCAUUGAUCUAACUGUAUAUUCACCUGGAAGCGCUGAUCUUACUGAACAUUUAGUUACGGUGUCUUCUAGGAAACCCUUUUCGAUGCUCUCAUAGGUGCAGCAUAUACUUUGAACUAGUGUCCAGUAUUUGGUACUCUUUCUUUCUGUUCCUGUUGUCUGUUGCUGUAUAACUUCCCCAAAUUUACUGGUCUAAACAACUACAACGUUUGCUUUGCUUACAAAUCUCAAAUUCAUGCAAGGCUCAGUGGGAAUAGCUUAUCUGUCCGUUUUCCACUUGUUGCCCACUGGGGCAGCUAAAAAAGCUGGGGUUUGGAAUCAUCUACAGGUCCAGUCCUUCACAUGUAUGGUGACUAAUGCUGACUCUGUGGCCGGACAUCUGCUCAUGGCCUUUCCACAGUGCUGUUUUGUUCCUCACAACAUAGUAGCCGGGUUCCCAGGGCAAGGAUCCCAAAAGAGAGAUACCUGGGUGGAAACUCUAAUGCCUUUUCUAAACCACGAAAGUCCUGCAGGAUCUCUUCAACCCACAUUCAGUUCAUUAGGACUUUGUCAUUAAGGCUGGGUAUAUCUAAAGUAGUUCCUUUUUUUAAUGGGAAAAAUGUCAAAGUAUUUGUGGUUAUGCUUUAAAACCAUCACACUUCCAUAGGCAGAAUUAAUGGAUUUAGAAACAAAGGGAUUAUACCCAAUGAACCCUACUUAAAAUUUUUUUAUUUAACUGCCAUUCUCUGAAAUUCUGGGCUUUGCUGGUUUAGGGGUUUCUUACAAAACAAAGGAAUCUUCUAACAACAGCUGGACAGUGGUUCCACUGAUUUGUAGCGAAGACUGCCAUGUAACCAUUUUGCAUGUGUUGUGUCCCUGGACUGGCAAGAGAAGGAGAAAAAGGAGGUAAUGAUAUUGGCCGGAGUGGAUAGCCCUGGUCAUCAAGCAGAGAUAGCUUUGCUGGUGUACCUUUAAACAAACAGGUCCAUCAAACUCUCAGAUCCCUUAGAAAUGAAGGUAUUCGUUGAAGGUAAAGGGAACUUGGAAUGGUUGGAGAAAGGAAGCCAUAAAGGGAGGUGAAGUCCUGAAAGGGGGAGAAAUGAGAGCUGUCAUCUUGUACUUCCUUUUGUGAUGGAUCAUGUAUACUUGAUAUGUUUUGAUUUUCAUUUUCUUUCUUUACCCUUUAUGUCACCAUUGUAUGUAGGGUGUGCUAUUGCUGAAACCUCAUUAAUUAGCCCAGAAGUUGCAGAGUAGUAGAUACCACCUAGAUGUUCUAGACUUAGAAAGGGAUAGAUAGAUGGAACAUCAGGUUAAUUGCCUUGAGGGGGUGAUAGAGUGCCUCUUUGAUUGAAAGUGAGUUGCAAUAUUUUAAAUGACAAUUUUUUGUGAAGUGUUAAAUAACAAAAAUUCAACAGAGAGAAUAUUAAAGAUGAAAUUAGCUCUAUUAAUCAUUUCAUGAAUUGUGCAGCAGCCCAUCUGGAAAGUAGUAGGGAUCUCUGCAGAGAAGGAAAGGUUUUCAGAGGUAGAAAGGGAGUGGAAACCAGAAAAUUAUUAGCAGAGAAUCCAUUGUUCUAGGCAAGGUCACCUUCCCAAGGGUAACAGAAGAGGUCUAUCAGUAAAAUGCCUAGUGUUGACCAGGAAAUUCCAUGUUGGCUGGUUAAAGGUUACAUUCCUGGUGGGGGCAGGGGGGGGUGCUAAAAUGCAGUCAGAUUAGGUACUAAGUCUUGACUUGUUGCUGUGUGUCCAUUAACAUGAGUGAGUGCAUCUUUUGGCCUGUGGUUUUCUUUUAACAGAAGUGUGAGCAUUGAACAAAUGGUUAUUUUGGUGUUGGGCAGCCUAAGGGGUGAGUUUGUGCUUGAUGUUUUUGUGGGUUUUUUUUCCUGCUUCCAUCACUGAGUUCUCUUUCUGCACUGCAAAUUCCCCAUGGUUUGUCCUGGUAGUGGUGAGCACUGCUUACAGAAAGUGAGACACUUACUUUUUGUAGCCUUCUUACAAUAGGAGUAUGUGCAUGUGCCCUAAGCUUGAUUAAUCAGAUGAUGUCUGGACUGCAACUUCAUGAGAAACUGUAGGCCAGCACCAUUCAGCUAAGUGGCUCUCAAAUUCCUGACCAGAAACUGUGAUAAUACAUGUUUGUUGUUUUAAGUGCCUUAAGUGGUGGGACAGUUUGUUAUGCAGCAGUAUGUAAGUAACACAUCCUCUUCUUGGUGCAGAGGGGAGAUGUCACAGUACCUUCACAACUCUGCAAAGGUAUUCUCACACCAGCAUCUCAUUCUGCAUUGAGUUCUUUGUCUCACUGGUGUCAGUACUGGAGGCUUAUCCAGCUGGGAGUCCUUUGUCAAUCUCAGCAUUUCCUGCAUGGGAAGAUUGGCAUCUUUAUUUAAAAUGUGAGCAGCCUUGACACCUGUUGUAUUUAUUUUCAGAUUUUGAGACCUCUGCCUAAAGCCUGGACAACACUAAAUUUUAACAUCCUGAAAAAAAAUUCCACACACCCAUUAAAUAAAAAUGCAGUACAAUAAAAAGUAAGUAAGAGUUCUAGAAGGGUUUGUUCUAAAUAAACCAAUAUGUUCUCAUUAAUCUUGCUCUAGAGGUUGGCCCUUCCCUUGGCCAGUUACUUGAGCUGUUAGCUUCUUUCCUCUUCAGUGUCUUUAUCUGUAAUAUGGAAUAACAAUGGUACCUGUCUCAUCUGAAAUAAUGUUAGCGUAGCAUCUGGUAUGUAGGAAACAGUGUAUUCUAGGUAUUAUCUUGAGUCAUCGCCUGGCUCUGGAAACAUUGCCAAAGUGUUGUGCUUUCCUGGAGUAGGUUGUCUCAUAAAUUUUAUGUAGUCUAGGCUCUGUCAUUUUUUGAAGUUUUCAAACCAGCUUGAAAUUUUUUAUCUUUUGUUCUUAGCUCCUCUCUUGUUCUCAGUAGUCUGGAUAAGGGUUUGUGAAGUGGUAAGGGCUUUUCACAGAUGGUCUGUGUGCCUAAACACAUAUCUUCCAGCUACAUGAUCAUCCUACUUCGUGAAGUGAAGAUAACCGGGUAUGUCUUUGUAUCAUCCUCAGUCUUGCUAUCAUUGGGGGAGAUGUGAAUGUUUUUGAAUUUUUUAUUUUAAUUGUUUAAGAGUAAUUAAUAUGUUUUGAACAUUUGUUUGAAAACAUGAAAUCAUAUGGAGCCUUGGUUUGCAACUACUACUGUCUGCUAGUGCUUAGUGAAUUAAUUUGGAUAUUUUAAAGAUAAAUUUUAAAAGAGCAGAAUUUUCAGCUUCAUGUAGGUAAUGCAGAAAUGCUAAAUAAAUUUUUUAAUGCAAGUCUGUUAUGGUAUCAGUCAGAUUCAUGGAGAAAUUGAGAAGCUCCAUGAUUUCCUUGUAACUCUAAUGAUUCUGUACUAAGAAGGGUGUCACGAUAUAAGAACACAAGCUCCUAACUAAAUGAGUAUGCAUAAGUAAAGCAAUAUAAUGUAAAUGCAUAUGGAAACUCAGAUUGUAUAAGGUGGUUAUGUCAAAAGUUGUGUGCUCUUUUAUGGUUUGUCAGCAAAUCCUCAGGUUUAAAUACAGCCUUAGAAGUUAGAAGACUCAUUGAACAGUUCGCUUGUUUCUGAACACGCAGGAAACAAAAAACCUUUAAUUCUUGUUAUCUCUUUCUGUUUGAAUAUUUUACCUGCCAGUGUUAGAAACAUAAACUGGUCUUCCAUUCCAGAAAUGUUUCCACUUCCAUCUAGCUUUCCCACUGGAGGGCAGUAGAGAACCACCAGGACACCAGUUCUAAUGGGACAAGAGAGUCUACUUUUUUCCUACUGAUUUUUCACAGAAUUUUUCCUGCUGAUUUCCUACAGCUUUCCUACUGAUCAAAAGUCAUAAUCAAGUACCUUUUCAGGAAACCUACUUGCUCCCAUAAAAAGCCACAAUUGAUUGUGAAAGUAAAAGGAAAUAAAGCAAAUUAUGCAUUUAUGACAUUUACUAAGUGGGCAGAAAAAACUCCUAAGACAAAUCAUAAAUGUACUUUUUUUGUGGUGGGAUUUUUUGUUCAGGAACUGAACUGGCUGGGGCUUCCUAAAAUACUAGUCCAAAAAGGUGCAGUGGCUGUUGAUGCUGGGGUUCUUGUUUGCAGAGUUGAAGAAUGAACUUAGCAAACACCCAAGGUAGGAGAGCCAGGGUGAGGCUUUUAUUUAGAGAUACAGUGAGA